UACGUAGGGUGCGAGCGUUGUCCGGAAUUAUUUGGGCGAAAGAGCUCGUAGGCGGUCUGUCGCGUCUGCUGUGAAAUCCCGAGGCUCAACCUCGGGCUUGCAGUGGGUACGGGGCAGGCUAGAGUGCGGGUAGGGGAGAAUGGAACUCCUGGUGUAGCGGUGGAAUGCGCAGAUAUCAGGAAGAACACCGAUGGCGAAGGCAGUUCUCUGGGCCGUAACUGACGCUGAGGAGCGAAAAGCGUGGGGGAGCGAACAG
rnacentral:rRNA from 1 species